UAGGGAAUCUUCCACAAUGGACGCAAGUCUGGUGGAGCAACGCCGCGUGAGUGAAGAAGGUUUUCGGAUCGUAAAGCUCUGUUGUUGGUGAAGAAGGAUAGAGGCAGUAACUGGUCUUUAUUUGACGGUAUCAACCAGAAAGUCACGGCUAACUACGUGCCAG
rnacentral:rRNA from 1 species